rnacentral:tRNA from 1 species
GCAUUGGUGGUUUAGUAAUAGAAUUCUUGCCUUCCAUGUGGGAGAACCAGGUUCAAGCCCCAGCCAAUGCA